rnacentral:rRNA from 1 species
CCUACGGGAGGCAGCAGUUGGGGAUUUUGCACAAUGGACGAAAGUCUGAUGCAGCGACACCGCGUGAAGGAAGAAGGCUCUCGGGUUGUAAACUUCUUUUGUAUGGGAAUAAACUUGAAGGUACCAUACGAAUAAGGACCGGCUAACUACGUGCCAGCAGCCGCGGUAAUACGUAGGGUUCAAACAUUAUCCGGAUUUAUUGGGCGUAAAGAGUGCGUAGGUGGUUUCUUAAGAUUCAGUUCAAAGCUCCCGGCUCAACCGGGAAAAGGGCUGAAUAACUGAGAAGCUAGAGGCGUUCAGGGGCAGAUGGAACUUAUGGUGUAGCAGUGAAAUGCGUUGAUAUCAUAAGGAACACCGAUGGCGAAGGCAGUCUGCUAGGAACGAUCUGACACUGAGGCACGAAAGCGUGGGGAGCGAACGGGAUUAGAUACCCCGGUAGUCCACGCUGUAAACGAUGCACAUUAGGUAUGUGAGGUAUCGACCCCUUGCGUAUCGUAGCUAACGCGUUAAAUGUGCCGCCUGGGUAGUACGGCCGCAAGGCUAAAACUCAAAGGAAUUGACGG